rnacentral:rRNA from 1 species
UAGGGAAUCUUCCGCAAUGGACGCAAGUCUGACGGAGCAACGCCGCGUGAGUGAAGAAGGAUUUCGGUUCGUAAAACUCUGUUGUUAGAGAAGAACAGCGCAUAGAGUAACUGUUAUGCGUGUGACGGUAUCUAACCAGAAAGCCACGGCUAACUACGUGCCAGCAGCCGCGGUAAUACGUAGGUGGCAAGCGUUGUCCGGAUUUAUUGGGCGUAAAGCGAGCGCAGGCGGUCAAUUAAGUCUGAUGUGAAAGCCCCCGGCUCAACCGGGGAGGGUCAUUUGAAACUGGUUGACUUGAGUGCAGAAGAGGAGAGUGGAAUUCCAUGUGUAGCGGUGAAAUGCGUAGAUAUAUGGAGGAACACCAGUGGCGAAGGCGACUCUCUGGUCUGUAACUGACGCUGAGGUUCGAAAGCGUGGGUAGCAAACAGG